CAGUCGCCGCGGUAAUACGAGGGGGGCAAGCGUUGUUCGGAAUUAUUGGGCGUAAAGGGCGCGUAGGCGGUUUGACAAGUCUGAUGUGAAAUCUCUGGGCUCAACCCAGAGUCUGCAUCGGAAACUGUCGAGCUUGAGUAUGGGAGAGGUGAGUGGAAUUUCAGGUGUAGCGGUGAAAUGCGUAGAUAUCGGAAGGAACACCUGUGGCGAAAGCGGCUCACUGGACCAUUACUGACGCUGAGGCGCGAAAGCUAGGGGAGCAAACAGGAUUAGAUACCCCUGUAGUCCCUGUCUCUUAUAC
rnacentral:rRNA from 1 species